rnacentral:rRNA from 1 species
CCCUUAGAUGUUCUGGGCUGCACGCGCGCUACACUGAUGCGCUCAACGAGUUUUGCCCUUGCCCGGUAGGGUUGGGUAAUCUUUUCAAAACGCACCGUGAUGGGGAUAGAUUAUUGCAAUUAUUAAUCUUCAACGAGGAAUUCCUAGUAAGUGCGAAUCAUCAGUUCGUGCUGAUUACGUCCCUGCCUUUUGUACACACCGCCCGUCGCACCUACCGAUUGAAUGGUCCGGUGAAAUCUCGGGACGGCGGCUUGGUCGCUUGCGUCCGACUGCUGAAACUUGAUUAAACCAUAUCAUUUAGAGGAAGGUGAAGUCGUAACA